UUGCACGCUGGCGGCAGGCCUAACACAUGCCAGUCGAACGGUAACAGGAAGAAGCUUGCUUCUUUGCUGACGAGUGGCGGACGGGUGAGUAAUGUCUGGGAAACUGCCUGAUGGAGGGGGAUAACUACUGGAAACGGUAGCUAAUACCGCAUAACGUCGCAAGACCAAAGAGGGGGACCUUCGGGCCUCUUGCCAUCGGAUGUGCCCAGAUGGGAUUAGCUAGUAGGUGGGGUAACGGCUCACCUAGGCGACGAUCCCUAGCUGGUCUGAGAGGAUGACCAGCCACACUGGAACUGAGACACGGUCCAGACUCCUACGGGAGGCAGCAGUGGGGAAUAUUGCACAAUGGGCGCAAGCCUGAUGCAGCCAUGCCGCGUGUAUGAAGAAGGCCUUCGGGUUGUAAAGUACUUUCAGCGGGGAGGAAGGGAGUAAAGUUAAUACCUUUGCUCAUUGACGUUACCCGCAGAAGAAGCACCGGCUAACUCCGUG
rnacentral:rRNA from 1 species